rnacentral:lncRNA from 1 species
CGCAGCACUGGCUGGAAGUCCGCCGCGUGUCAGUGAGGAGCUGCUGCAGAAGGAAGAAGAAGCAGCGGCGUGGGGACCUGGGAGGCAGGAGCAAGCAAGAAGAGGAAGCGGAAGCGUGCAGAUGCGGGGGGGAAGGAGAGAGGCUCCCUGGGCAAAGCACCUGUCCCGUUAGCAGGGGCACAGUCACGUUUGAGUUGAGAGCUGCCGGCGCCUUUGGUGACCAGGCUGGCGUGGUGCUGGGCGACCUCCCGUAAGCGGGGCUCGGGUCUUUGCUGUAGUUGGCCUUUUGCCUUGCUGCUCCUUUGGCUGCCUGGGGAGCGUGGCCCCCUGUAACGGAGGGCGAGAGCCACCUCUCCGCACCUGAGUGGGAAAUGGAGCUCGCCGGACCCCAAGGCCACCCUGUAAGCAGGGUAGUGCCGUUUCCCUGCCCCUCUUCCUCCCCG